GGGGCUGGAGACUGCAUUGAGUCACCAAUGGCCAGUGAUUUCAUUGCUCGUGCCAACCUAAGGAAGCCUCCAUAAAAACCCAAAAGGAGGCGAUCUGGGGAGCUUCUCAGCUGGUGAACUUGCGGAGAUUCGGGGGAGGGGGGAGCGUCGCACUUGGAGAGUGCACAGAAGUUUCCCCAUACCUUCUCCUGUGUCCCUCUUCCACCUGGGUAUUUCUGAGUUAUACCCCUUUACUAAACCAGUAAUCUAACUAUACCGGCGGCCUCCAAGACCCUCCAUCAUAACUUGGUCAUGUUUGGGUCAGCAAAGACUAGUAAGGCCGGUGGAAAGCACCUUCUGAUCAACUGCGAGGUGUCUCCAAGAGCCGAAGUCCUCUCCCGCUCCUGCCAUUAAGCAAGAAGGACUCCAGCAGCAGAAGAGGGGCCUGUAUCCUUGAUACCUACAACAUGGCAGACAUUACCCUGAUUGUGGCUAAGACACAGAGAGGGCAAAUCUAUAGAGAAAGAAAGUAAACUGAUGGUUGCCGGAGUUCCAGGGGAAGGAGGAAUGGAGACUGACUGCCGAGGGGUGUGCGACUUCUUUCUGGGAUGAUGAAAAUGUUCUGGAAUCGAUAUCAGUGAUAAUUGUGCAACGUUAAAAAGGCACAUUUUAUGAUCAGUUCAGAAGAGAAGACAUCUAGAAGCUCCGUUAUGACCACAGAGCUUAGUCUCUAUUAUUAACUGAAUUGCGUUUCCCCAGAAUUCAUACAUCGAAGCCCUAAUCUUCAGUGUGACUGUAUUUGGGCACACACAGAGAUGCUUAAGUUCUAUGCUCUUAUGAUUCUACCAAGAACCACAAGGAGGAGAGAGUCAGACAUCCCGCACACCUAGGAAACUGAAGAAAGAAAAAAGAAAAUGAGAUUAACGGGAAAAUUCCAAGGACAAAGAAGGCAAUAUAAAAUAAUUCAGAAAAGCAGAAAGUAAAGAAGUGAAGUGAAACAACUUAAAAAGGAAGAAAUGGAAGACGUCUGGAUGAGUUCAUACAGGAUUAGGGAGAGCCCUAGAUCCGGUGACCCGAGCCCUUACAAAAGACAGAAAAGGAGGAGGAAAAAGAGUUGCAGGAGGGCACACCAUCCAGGGAUCUGCGUGAAGACAGAGGAAGAGACCGGAGGUAGGCAGCUGCCAGCCAAGGAUACCAAGGAUCCCAGAAGCCGCCAGAAAGCAGGAGAGAGGCAGAAAGCGGAUGUUCUCUCAGAGCCUUCAGAAGAAAGCAAUCCUGCCAACACUGACUUUGUUCUUCUGGCCUCCAGAACUGUGACAGAAUAAAUCUCUGUUGCUUUGA